GGAAGUAAAAGUCGUAACAAGGUUUCCGUAGGUGAACCUGCGGAAGGAUCAUUACUGAUUUAGCGAACCGAGCGUUAGCGAGGUUUUGCGAUCAACUUGUAUUUAAAACCCACUCUUUAAUGUAUAAAAUUUGUAUUAAUGAUAAAUUAAAAGAUCACUUUCAACAACGGAUCUCUUGGCUCUCGCGUCGAUGAAGAACGUAGCGAAGUGCGAUAAGUAAUGUGAAUUGCAGUAUUCCGUGAAUCAUCGAAUCUUUGAACGCAUAUUGCACUUUCUGGUAUUCCGGAAAGUAUGCCUGUUUGAGGGUCAGUUAAAUAAAAAUCGGUGUUGUUGCUGCCUUUCGUGGUGACGCGUCGGAAUUGAGUUGUCUUACCUUCGGUUAAGUGACUUAAAAUUUUGUAUGAUUUUUGAACGUAUUUAAAUUUAUUUGUACGCUUAAGAUAUCGAAUAUUUAUUAGGUUCGGUCAUUCUGACGACUCGCGCCUAUAAUUUUCCAUUAAAUGACCUCAAAUCAGGUAAGAAUACCCGCUGAACUUAAGCAUAUCAAUAAGCGGAGGA
rnacentral:rRNA from 1 species